rnacentral:misc_RNA from 1 species
GAUGAAGAACGUAGCGAAAUGCGAUAAGUAAUGUGAAUUGCAGAAUUCCGUGAAUCAUCGAAUCUUUGAACGCACAUUGCGCCCUCUGGUAUUCCGGGGGGCAUGCCUGUCCGAGCGUCAUUUGCAACCCCCAAGCCCGGCUUGUGUGAUGGGUGCCGUCCCCUACGGGACGCGCCCCGAAGGCAAUGGCGGCGUCGCGGUUAUCCGAUCAGCCAAAGUGUAUGGGGCUUUGUCACUCACUUUACGGCCCGGACCGGCGCCAGUCCGAAUCAAUCUUUUUUCUAAAGUUGACCUCGGAUCAGGUAGGGAUACCCGCUGAACUUAAGCAUAUCAAUAAGCGGAGGA